AGAGUUUGAUCCUGGCUCAGGAUGAACGCUGGCGGCGUGCCUAAUACAUGCAAGUCGAGCGAGAAGCUACUUUGACGCGUUUUCGGACAAGUCUGUGUAGUGGAAAGCGGCGGACGGGUGAGUAACGCGUAGGCAACCUGCCCUUAGCAGAGGGAUAGCCAUUGGAAACGAUGAUUAAAACCUCAUAAAGCUGCAUAAACACAUGUAGAUGCAGCCAAAGAUUUAUCGGCUAAGGAUGGGCCUGCGUCUGAUUAACUAGUUGGCGGGGUAACGGCCCACCAAGGUGACGAUCAGUAGCCGACCUGAGAGGGUGAUCGGCCACAUUGGAACUGAGACACGGUCCAAACUUCUACGGAAGGCAGCAGUAAGGAAUCUUGCACAAUGGGGGAAACCCUGAUGCAGCACCGCCGCGUGAGUGAUGACGGCCUUCGGGUUGUAAAGCUCUGAUCUUGGGGAAGAAGAAAGUGACGGUACCCAAGGAGAAAGCCCCGGCUAACUACGUGCCAGCAGCCGCGGUAAUACGUAGGGGGGCAAGCGUUAUCCGGAAUUAUUGGGCGUAAAGAGUGCGUAGGUGGUUACCUAAGCGCAAGGUUUAAUCUUGAGGCUCAACCUCAUUCUGCCUUGCGAACUGGGCUACUUGAGUGCUGGGAGGGGAAAGCGGAAUUCCCAGUGUAGCGGUGAAAUGCGUAGAUAUUGGGAAGAACACCGGUGGCGARKGCGGCUUUCUGGACAGUAACUGACACUGAGGCACGAAAGCGUGGGGAGCAAACAGGAUUAGAUACCCUGGUAGUCCACGCCGUAAACGAUGAGCACUAGUUGUUGGGUCCGAWUGGAUUCAGUGACGCAGUUAACGCAAUAAGUGCUCCGCCUGGGGAGUACGGUGGCAACACUAAAACUCAAAGGAAUUGACGGGGACCCGCACAAGCAGCGGAGCAUGUGGUUUAAUUCGAAGCAACGCGAAAAACCUUACCAGGGCUUGACAUCCCUCUGAAAGAACCCUUAACCGGGUUCCUCCUUCGGGCAGAGGUGACAGGUGGUGCAUGGUUGUCGUCAGCUCGUGUCGUGAGAUGUUGGGUUAAGUCCCGCAACGAGCGCAACCCUUGUGGUGAGUUACUAACAUUUGGUUGAGGACUCUGGCGAGGCUGCCGAGGUUAACUCGGAGGAAGGUGGGGAUGACGUCAAAUCAUCAUGCCCCUUAUGUUCUGGGCUACACACGUGCUACAAUGGUCGGUACAAUGAGACGCAAAGUCGCGAGGCGGAGCAAAUCACCAAAACCGAUCCCAGUUCGGAUUGCAGGCUGCAACUCGCCUGCAUGAAGUCGGAGUUGCUAGUAAUCGCGAAUCAGCAUGUCGCGGUGAAUGCGUUCCCGGGUCUUGUACACACCGCCCGUCACACCAUGGAAGUUGGGGGCGCCCAAAGUUGGCUAAUUAAUCUGCUACCUAAGGCGAAACCAAUGACUGGGGUGAAGUCGUAACAAGGUAACCGUA
rnacentral:rRNA from 1 species